AUUGAACGCUGGCGGCAUGCUUUACGCAUGCAAGUCGAACGGUAACAGGCCUUCGGGUGCUGACGAGUGGCGCACGGGUGAGUAAUGCAUCGGAACGUACCCAGAGGUGGGGGAUAACGCAGCGAAAGCUGUGCUAAUACCGCAUGUGAUCUGAGGAUGAAAGCGGGGGACCGAGCAGCAAUGUUUGGCCUCGCGCCUUUGGAGCGGCCGAUGUCGGAUUAGCUAGUUGGUGGGGUAAAGGCCUACCAAGGCGACGAUCCGUAGCUGGUCUGAGAGGACGACCAGCCACACUGGGACUGAGACACGGCCCAGACUCCUACGGGAGGCAGCAGUGGGGAAUUUUGGACAAUGGGCGCAAGCCUGAUCCAGCAAUGCCGCGUGCGGGAAGAAGGCCUUCGGGUUGUAAACCGCUUUUGGCAGGAACGAAACGGUGUCCGCUAAUACCGGGCGCUAAUGACGGUACCUGCAGAAUAAGCACCGGCUAACUACGUG
rnacentral:rRNA from 1 species